rnacentral:rRNA from 1 species
UACGAGGGGGGCGAGCGUUGUUCGGAAUUAUUGGGCGUAAAGGGUGCGUAGGCGGUUUGGUAAGUCUGAUGUGAAAUCCCCGGGCUCAACCUGGGAAUGGCAUUGGAUACUGGCUCGCUAGAGUGCGGUAGAGGGUGGUGGAAUUCCCGGUGUAGCAGUGAAAUGCGUAGAGAUCGGGAGGAACAUCUGUGGCGAAGGCGGCCACCUGGACCAACACUGACACUGAGGCACGAAAGCGUGGGGAGCAAACAGG